rnacentral:lncRNA from 1 species
UUUUUUCUUCCUUCCAUCCUUCUCUCCAUUUCAUGUUUCUUUGCACCUUCCAUGGAAGCCUCCCUUGAAACCUUUAUAACUUUCCCAAAUUAGCUCCAUUUCUCAUAUUUUUCUACACCUUUUCAUAGGGUUUCAUGCUCUUCCACUUCUACACCUCAAGAACCCUCAAAAGCCUUUCCUUAAUACUUUCUCUCCCUAGUUGGACGUUCUAGAGAGAGAAAGAGAGAUUUUUCACAAUAGUUUGAAAGCUUUUAAAAAGAAAUUCAACUACAAAGAAACCCUAAGGAGAGUAAUGAGUUACGGUUUAUUUCUAAUUUGUUAAUGAAGGUCAAUAAUUUGAUUUGUGGGUUGUUUUAUUGUGGAGAGUUGUUUAUUUAUUUCUUGUGUUACUAGAGUAGGGAGAAUAGAUAGCCAGUCAAAUGGUAAUUGGAAGUUAGUUAGGAAUAACCAGUAAAGUUUGAAUUAAAAAAUAGCUUUUGGAGUAAAAUUUAUCUAAAUUGAGUUGGUUGUGCUAUUAUUGUGUGUGAUAGGUUCCAGCGAGGCCCCACAUCUUCACUCAGAGCAUUAGUCGAAGUUAGAGUCGAUUCAAAAGCAUUAACAAAAAAAAGUGAGUUAACUUGCAUUAAAAUAUUUUGGGUAAAUGUAUAUCUAUUUGGAUGAAUCACCUGAAAUAUUUUAAUCGAUUUUUCUUCAAACUGCACACUGGAACAAGCCCUUGAUGAAACAUUUUUUUUGUGUGUGUUGUGUUGUGAAAUGUGCUGUGAUGAAUCCAUGUACUCAUUUAUUAUGUUGAUAUAAACAUAUAUGUGUUGUACAUUGAGAGGUGAUAUUGUGUAAUAAAUAUAGUUGUGCAUGUGCACGAUGUGGGGGAGCACAUGUCAAUGAUGAUGGGUGCGGGAGCGUGGAUGAUGAUAUUGCUUGUGCACAAUGUGGGGGAUGUAUACAAUGGUAUUAGCUGUGCACGAUGUGGGGGAUGCACACGGUGACUCCGGCUAUGUGCAGUGUGGGAGUGCACAUGAGUUGGGUGAGGCGAUGGUGGUGUAUAUGCUUAUAUAUAUAUAUAUAUAUUCACUAUAUAUAAAGGUUAUGAAAAUAACUUGUGAUUGCAUUGAAUAUUGAGAAAACUUGAUUAUUGUCAAUGUGUUCAAUUUGACGUUCAAUAUGGCAGGAAUGGAUUUUUAUGGCAUGUGAAAACCCUUUUAUUUUCAUCUACCCUAAAUCUCGCUGCAGCAAAAAUGGAUUCUUGCUGCAACGAGAAACUCUCGGGUGGUGGGGCGUGAACCAGCCCUGCUUCUCGCUACAGUGAAAAUAAAUUCUUGCUGCAGCGAGAAACCCUUGGGUGGUUGCAUUCUAAACCCUCGCGCGAAUGCAUUCUCACUGUAGUGAGAAAUCCUCGGGCAAUUGAUGAUUUGUGCUUAAAUUUCGUUGUAGCGAAAAUUCAUUCUCAUUGCAGCGAAAAUGGCUUUCCACUGUGGUGAGGAUCAACCUAUUUCACUUGACUUGCUUGAAUGUUACUAAAGUUUUCACUCUUCAAAUUCUUUGUUGUCCAUGGAUCCUUCAUCAUCAAGUGAUUAAACAGUUAAAGGUUUAAAUGAGGGGUUUUAAUAAGAAGUAAACUAAAUUGCAUUGUUUUUGAAUAUAAGUGUAUCAUGAUUUUUAAACUUUCCUUAUCGUUUGCUUGUUUCCUUCCUAUGUUCACUCACUUGGUUUAUACUCAUUGUUUUCAACUUCAUGUCUUCAGAUUAGGAGGCAGUUGGAACCUAGGUUGAGGGUCCACGUAGAUUCAUCUCCUUGGUAGGUAUCUCGGCAUUCAAUAGCUGUACCUUCGCCAAGGUCACUCUGCUAGAAGUCGAGUGUCUUUUUUACUGUGUAUAGAUAAAUGCAAUGUAAAUUACUAAGAUAUAUGUCUUAGACAAUAUAUGUAUAUUUUGAUUGGUAAUGCCACUAUGAGUUGGCAAUGGUUAACAUUAUUUUGGGUUAAUAUAAAGGCAAGUAUUUGAUUA